GGGGUAUCGCCAAGCGGUAAGGCACCGGAUUCUGACUUCCGGCAUUCCGAGGUUCGAAUCCUCGAUACCCCA
rnacentral:tRNA from 1 species